GGACCUGCCCAGUGAUAUAAUACAUUUAACGGCCGCAGUACCCUGACUGUGCAAAGGUAGCAUAAUCAUUUGCCCUAUAAUUGAGGGCUAGUAUGAAUGGUUUGACAAGAACAUGACUGUCUCUUGUGAGAUAUCUAAAAAUUAAACUUUAGGUGAAGAUGCCUAAAUAAAACUAAAAGACGAGAAGACCCUGUUGAGCUUUAAAAACUUUAAGGUUCCCUAAGAAGUUUUUUUGGUUGGGGCGACCUAGGAACAUAUAAAGCUUCUUUUGUUACUUAAAACAUUUAGUUAUGAUCCAAUAAAAUUGAUUAACAGAAUAAGCUACCACAGGGAUAAC
rnacentral:rRNA from 1 species